rnacentral:rRNA from 1 species
GACGAACGCUGGCGGCGUGCUUAACACAUGCAAGUCGAACGGAAAGGCCCUGCUUUUGUGGGGUGCUCGAGUGGCGAACGGGUGAGUAACACGUGAGUAACCUGCCCUUGACUUUGGGAUAACUUCAGGAAACUGGGGCUAAUACCGGAUAGGAGCUCCUGCUGCAUGGUGGGGGUUGGAAAGUUUCGGUGGUUGGGGAUGGACUCGCGGCUUAUCAGCUUGUUGGUGGGGUAGUGGCUUACCAAGGCUUUGACGGGUAGCCGGCCUGAGAGGGUGACCGGCGACAUUGGGACUGAGAUACGGACCAGACUCCUACGGGAGGCAGCAGUGGGGAAUAUUGCACAAUGGGCGGAAGUCUGAUGCAGCAACGCCGCGUGCGGGAUGACGGCCUUCGGGUUGUAAACCGCUUUGGCCUGUGACGAAGCGUGAGUGACGGUAAUGGGUAAAGAAGCACCGGCUAACUACGUG